rnacentral:rRNA from 1 species
UACGUAGGGGGCUAGCGUUGUCCGGAAUCAUUGGGCGUAAAGCGCGUGUAGGCGGUUCGGUAAGUCCGCUGUGAAAGUCGGGGGCUCAACCCUCGAAAGCCGGUGGAUACUGUCGGGCUAGAGUACGGAAGAGGCGAGUGGAAUUCCUGGUGUAGCGGUGAAAUGCGCAGAGUAUCAGGAGGAACACCAAUUGCGAAGGCAGCUCGCUGGGACGUUACUGACGCUGAGGCACGAAAGCGUGGGGAGCAAACAGG